rnacentral:sRNA from 1 species
CCUCUUCCACCUGCUGCGGGCAGAUAAAGUGGAUAUGAGCAUCCACUCCACCGGCGGUUACGAUUUGUCCUUCACCGGCAAUCACUUCGGUACCGGGACCAACAACGAUAGUGACGCCAGCUUGCAUAUCCGGGUUACCGGCCUUGCCAAUGGUUUGAAUCCUGCCGUGCUUAAUGGCGAUAUCCGCUUUCACCACACCCCAGUGAUCAAGAAUCAGCGCAUUGGUAAUCACCGUAUCCGGCACCUCGGCAUCAAGAGACUGGCUUUGCCCCAUGCCAUCACGG